rnacentral:rRNA from 1 species
CUGCAGAGAUGUGGUUGCAUUUGGUUGGUGGUGUACAGGUGGUGCAUGGUUGUCGUCAGCUCGUGUCGUGAGAUGUUGGGUUAAGUCCCGCAACGAGCGCAACCCUUGUCUCGUGUUGCCAGCAUGUUGUGGUGGGGACUCACGAGAGACUGCCGGGGUUAACUCGGAGGAAGGUGGGGAUGACGUCAAAUCAUCAUGCCCCUUAUGUCUUGGGCUUCACGCAUGCUACAAUGGCCGGUACAGAGGGUUGCGAUAUCGCAAGGUGGAGCGAAUCCCUUAAAGCUGGUCUCAGUUCGGAUCGGGGUCUGCAACUCGACCUCGUGAAGUCGGAGUCGCUAGUAAUCGCGGAUCAGCAUUGCCGCGGUGAAUACGUUCCCGGGCCUUGUACACACCGCCCGUCACGUCACGAAAGUUGGUAACACCCGUAGCUCGUGGCCUAACCUUUUUUGGGGGGAGCGGUCGAAGGUGGGGCUGGCGAUUGGGACGAAGUCGUAACAAGGUAGCCGUACCGGAAGGUGCGGCUGGAUCACCUCCUUUCUAAGGA